rnacentral:rRNA from 1 species
AUACGGAGGAUGCAAGCGUUAUACGGAUUUAUUGGGUUUAAAGGGUGCGUAGGCGCAUGAUUAAGCGUGAAGUGAAAUGCCACUGCUCAACAGUGGAACUGCCUCGCGAACUGGUUGUCUUGAAUGCUCCUGCCGUGGGAGGAAUGUGUGGUGUAGCGGUGAAAUGCAUAGAGAUCACACAGAACACCGAUUGCGAAGGCAUCUCACGAAGGGGUGAUUGACGCUGAGGCACGAAAGCGUUGGGAUCAAACAGGAUUAGAUACCCUGGUAGUCCACGCAGUAAACGAUGAUAACUAACCGCUGGGUCGUAGUGAUUCAGUGGCCAAGCGAAAGCGAUAAGUUAUCCACCUGGGGAGUACGACCGCAAGGUUGAAACUCAAAUGAAUUGGCGGGG